AGGGGUCUUUCGAGCCAUUAAUCCCUGAGAUUGGCUCGGCGUGGCGUUGAAAUCCACGCGUUGCUCACCGAUUUUCUUCCUCACGAAACUCACUCAGGCUACGGCAGUCUUCGGAGCUCUCAAUCAUGGCGUCGAAGGUCUUCAGGAUUUUCUUUCUUACGCUCCUUCUCCUUGCGUCGCCUUUUCUCCAAGUUGUUAGAUGUCAAUCGGAUGCGGACGUGGAAUCUGAAGAUGCUGCCGUUGAUGAUGCCACUGACUUGGGGAUUGUUGGGGAGGAUGAACUAGAUUUUGGUGAUGGGAGUUUCAGCGCUGCUCCAGGGGUUGAUACAGUGUGUGUUUUCCCCAAAAAUAGUGCACGUUUAGUGGUGGCCGGAGAAGAGACUGAACUAUUAGCAGGAAUAAAAAAUAAUGGGGAUUCUAGCUUGAAUGUCAUUGCAAUAAAGGCCAGUGUCCAUUACACUUUCGAUCACCGGUUACUGAUUCAAAAUCUUACUGCACAGGCUUUUAACAAUGGAUCAGUACCAGCAUCGUCACAAGCAACUUUCCCCUACCUUUUUGCUGUCAGCAAAUAUCUUCAGUCCGGAAAUUUUGAUCUCGUUGGAACCAUUAUCUAUGAAAUAGAUCAGCAUCCAUAUCAAAGUACCUUCUUCAAUGGUACCAUUGAAGUUGCUGAAGCUGGUGGUUUUCUCAGCAUUGAAUCCGUAUUUCUAGUUACCCUUGGAAUUGCACUUAUCGUGCUGCUUGGUUUAUGGAUUCAUGGUCAAAUACAGAAUCUUUCCAAGAAAACGAAGAGGGCUCCUAAGGUUGAAGUCGGAACCAAGACCUCAGAUGCAUCAUUGGACGAAUGGCUUGAGGGUACUGCAUAUUCUCGGUCAUCGUCAAACAAAUCAAAGAAAAAGAAGUAGAUCACAUUUUUUCUGCCUUUGCGCUUGACACGUACCAGAUACGCAGUCUCUUGUAACUCACACUUGAGCAUUUGAAUUGUUUAAGAGGCGCAUCUUCAUCAGUUUUUGGAAAAUAGGCCAGUUUAGACUUUUGAAGAAGUUGAGUUAUUUCAAAUUUGAACUGACGCAUACAUGAGUAGAUGAUAGAGAUCUUUUAAUUUAAUCCAAAUUUUCUACCAUUUACUUUUUAUUCCGAAGUUACUUUUUGGUUGAUAGCUUUUUCCCAUUCCUUCUAUAGAUUCCACUCAUUUGGAAAGUAUUUUUAAUCUCAGCUAACCUAAGCAUAGUUCAAUUGUUAUAACACUCUCAACCAAUGCAUACAUGAAUAGAGAAAACAAAGAUCUUUUAAUUUAAUCCGAAAUUUUGACCAUGUACUUUUUUUUUUGAAGUUACUUUUUGAUGGAUAACAUUUUUUCGUUUCUUCUAUAGAUUCCAUCCGUAUAAAUACCAUUCAUUUUGAAUCAAGUGUUUUUACGCUUAGCUAACUUGAGCACAAUUCAACCGGUUUAAGAGACACACUUUCAACGAGAGGAAACAAACACCAGCGAGAUGCACGUGAAGCGGUUGGUUUGUAGCAUAGCUAGACGUUUAAGUCAAAUGCCAAAUACGGUUGUGAUUCUUGAAUUGGACUCCCUUUUGAUUAUGUUAUUGAAUAUAUCUUUAAUUGUUGAACUUGAAACGCCUAAAGCGUAGCAUGUUUGGUUUGACCUUUGUUGUAGCUGUUAUUAGUUUUGCUACUUUAUCCCUC